UCUGUGCAUACAAAAAAAUAUGGCCACUUACUGGGAAUAUUAUAUAAGUUACGGAGUAGCUCAGUGUCGCAAUUUGGAACUUGGAAGGCAUAAUUUCCAAGAUGAAUAGAAAGUGGAGUCGGGGGUCAAAAAGGAAAACGCAAAGAAGAGAGUGGAGUUGGGGGAGUCCAUCUUCAUCUCGCAAUCUCUCACUUUGCUCCAAAUGCAGCUCUUAGUUAACUUCUUUUGCUCGGGUUUUCUUCUUUGCAUUACUUUUCUGUCUUGGACUUCUUCUGAUUGGAUACCUUGUGCAUUUCCUUUUGGAUACCUUCUUCUGUGUCUUAUCAAGAAGAAAAGUGUAGACCUGUAUAUGUUGGGAGUAGUGAGAUUUUAGGAAGAAUUUUGGUUCAGGAUAAACCUUCGAAUUGAGCUUUCUCAACACUAUUUAGAUUAUCAAAGGUUAUCCCAGUGAGUUGGAAUUCUGGUUUUAGAACAAUUUAUCUAACCAUCAUUAGAAAGAGUCUGUUUGGUGGCUUUGAGAAUGGAUGAGAAAUGGAAGCUGUAAGCUUCUGGUGCUUUUCUUGCAAGUCCUUUCACAAAUUUCUGAUUGGUGAUAGACUGGAACAAAAAAUUUCUCUAGCAAGUCUUACCUGGAAACAUAAAGUUCCAGCCAAGUUCAAGGUUUCACGCUGGUUGGUCCACUCAUGGGAGGAUGAAUAUUUGCGAUAUGUUUCAAUGUAGGAGGUCAAACUGUUGGUUUUGCCCUGAAGGUGUGCCAUAUGCAAAUUUGAGGGACAGAGUAUCAAUCAUGUUUUUGUGCAUUGUGAAGUUGCUUCUAUUUUCUGGCAGAAAUAAUUUAGGGAGGCUGGAAUGUAUAGGGAGACCACACUCCCUGCUCUUUUUGUCCAACUAAUUUGCAUUUGGUAAGAAGGGAAGAAGGCGAAAGUUAAUUGGCGUUGCAGUGCGUUGGUUGUAAUUUGUUUUCUCUGGAUGGAAAGAGAUAGAAGAUUACACAGGUGCAGUGGUAGAGGAACUUUAGGAGAGAGUAAGAUUCUGGUCAGCUGAAUGGGCUUUUGUUUCAGCAGCCUUCUGAUUCCAUGACUUUUGAAAACUAUAGCUUCUCUUAUAUUGUGCUAGAUUGACCCAGGAGCAAUAUAAUAGGUUUCUGUUUUUCGUAGGCUGGUUUCCAUUUACUGCUGCUGUUGAAAAAAUUAUGAAUUUUCUGCUGUUUGUCUCUAUUUUCGUCUUUCUGUCCACUUUUAAUCGGACAUUUCAUUUGAUCAUUAAAAGUUGUUACUUUUCAAGGGAAAUUAAAAUAUUCCCCUCCA